UCCAAUGCCUUAAGAAAACUUCAUGAGGCUAAGCAGAACAGUCAGAAAGAACUGUUGCCAUUGGCAAAUGAUGUCAAAGUAAUGUCUGAAUACUUACGACAUGAAGCAGAAACACAUGCAAAUACCUUACAAGAAUCAGCAAGUGAUUGCGAGAAAAGGCAAGCAUGGCAUAAGUUGUCUGAAAUCUGCUUGUGUUUAAUCGAAACGAUCAGACGAUGUGUCAAAAAUGACAGUCGAAGAAUAUUCAAAAAACAAAUUGACAAAUGACGAUGGAGAAUUAGAUUGAUGUUUAACAAAACUGGAAAAAAAAACCUGUGCCGUUAUUUUUACCGUACAGAGAUUAUUGCAAAACGAGGUCGAAUAGCUGCAGUACUGUUUCCAAGACAGGUGAAAGAAAAUAUCGACCUGCUCAUACGCAGCAGAAAUUCUCUAACAAACUGUUUAAAUAGUAAAUAUCUUUUCCCAACAAAAUCUGCAUCAUGGCAUAUUCGUGGGACAGAUGUAUUACGUUCAAUUGCAAUUGACUGUGGAGCUGAACAUCCGAAAAGGCUUCGUUCUACAAAGUUAAGGAAACAUAUUGCCACAAUGACUAGGCUUUUUAACUUGUCUGAAAAUGAAAUAGACAUUCUAGCUAAAUUUCUUGGUCACGACAUUCGGGUACAUAGAGAAUUCUACAGAUAACCAGAUGGAACCAUGCAGGUUGCCAAAGUCAGCAAGCUGCUCAUGAUGAUGGAAAGUGGACAAAUUACCAGAAAUUCUGUCAAUUCGCUAGACGAUAUUGAUGUGGACGACGAAUGUAUUGUAGAUGAACAAUAUUCUUCUGAAUUAUCAGAAAAUGAAAAUACUGAAGACCUUGAAACUCUGCUUCCCAGCACCAGUCAACCAAAAAUAACAGACAAAGAAAAGGGUACUUCAAAUACCAGGAGAACAAAACAAGCAGCCAAAAAGCAACGGAGUGAAGACGAAAACAGGAGCUGUUCACAGAUACUUAGAUCGUUUUUUGAUAAUUGGUAAAUUACCAGGGAAAAAAUCAUUACUUGCAUG